UACGUAGGGUGCAAGCGUUAAUCGGAAUUACUGGGCGUAAAGCGUGCGCAGGCGGUUUUGUAAGUCUGUCGUGAAAGCCCCGGGCUCAACCUGGGAAUUGCGAUGGAGACUGCAAGGCUUGAAUCUGGCAGAGGGGGGUAGAAUUCCACGUGUAGCAGUGAAAUGCGUAGAGAUGUGGAGGAACACCGAUGGCGAUGGCAGCCCCCUGGGUCAAGAUUGACGCUCAUGCACGAAAGCGUGGGGAGCAAACAGG
rnacentral:rRNA from 1 species